AUCAUCUGAUGAAAGUGAAACAUAGGAAACACAUCAAUCAAAGACAAGCUUUGUGAUCUUGAGUGAAAACUUCCACAUUCCAAAAGCAACUAUUUUCCGUAUUAUUGUCUAUAUAUGCACAUUCUGUGGUUUUGUGCAGAGAAGAUGAAAACAGAAUGAUCUCCAAGUUGAAGAAAAACUCAACCUUCUUAAGCUUCUACUUGUGUUUUCAUGGACAUUGUGGGACUGAAUCAUAUCCCACAUUACUUGGAUAUCUCUGUACUCUCCGCAAGACUCUAUAUCCUUGUAGAGGCUUAGUAGCGCAUUCCCAUUGCCUGCCAUUAAACAAGCUUUCAUCAGGGCAUACGGAAGAAACAAACCCGAGAGAGAACGGAAAUUGCCUUCCUUUUCAACCUAUUUCAGAAACAAGUUAGAGAGAAAGAGGUUACCUUUAGGCUUAUGGAGAAGGUGUGAGUUUAGUCUGAGGAAAAACAGCUUAGUGGGGAAGAGGAAUGAGCGUUUGAAACAACCCCAUAAUCGCCAUCUCUUCAUCUUCUUCACCUACAGGCUCCACUCUCUUAAACCAACCUUUGAUUUAUAUAGUACAAUCUCUCUCUCUCUCUCACUCUCUCUCUCUCUCUCAAGGAUCAAAACCUGAGUUAAUAAAUAAAGGGGAAACAAACGGACUUUUGGAGUAUUAUUCGUAGUACCUUUACAAGCGAUCCCAUCAAAUCACCAAAAUCAGUGAAUUAGAGUUGAAUUCAAUGUGGAUGGAAAAACAGUAAAAACCAAGAAGGAUUAGGCACAAAAAACCAUGGAGGUGAGGACCAAAUACAGUGGAAGUAGUUAAAUUUGGUUCAAGUUUAGAUGGAAAGAAAAGGAAAAGGAGCGUUUGAGGGAUUUGAAGAUGAAAAUGAAACAUCGUAAUCAAAAUUAUUAAAUAUUGAGUAAAGUGUUUGGAUUUUGCUUUCCUCAUCUAUCCUUUACACCUAGAUUCUCUUCCAUUAAAUACACUGUGGAAGAUGGAGAAUUGGGGCCAUGGUCAAAACGGUUUGUUGGCUUUUCUAUCAUCUCUUCUAUUUGUGUUCUCUCUACGUAUAAAUAUAUAUAUCCUGUCCUUUUCACAUUCUCUUUUUGAUACUUCAACUCUUUUAUCAAAAGGGUUCUUUUUGUCUCUACACCAAUCGUAUCGUAUAAAUCAUUUCUAUUUGAUGGAUACGUUUAUUCUUCGACUUUAGUUUUAGUUUUAGUUUUAGAUGGUUUGACCAUACAUAAAUUUGUUUUUUUUCUUUUUAGUUAACGGUGUCGAAAAGGAGAUUAAAGUGGAACUGUUGAGGAGAUAAGAAUGAGUGAUAUGUUAGGUAAGAUUAAUGUUAACUAUGUUAGUGGUAGUAUGGUAGGAAUUGAUCAUGUGCAGCCCCUAACUGCCUUUGCUUUGACAUUUCACCAACUGCUACUCCUUGGUUUUAUCCAUAUUUCACAUUCUCUUUGUGAUGGGACUUGGAUCAAAUGGAACUUGAUGAUUUGAAUAUUUGAAUAUGACUUUAAGAUUUAUUGAACUCAAAGUCAACCUCAAUUUCCAUGGAAAGCCAAUGGGAACCCCACUUUGAGGACCAACUUUGUGACAACUUGGAGUUUAUACUAAUUCAAUAGUCUAUGUUAACACUUUAAUAUAA